CAGAUUUUAAGCUGGGCAACCUGAAGUUGAGAGAGUAGAUUUUCUGAACGGAGAAGAAAGGUCAUGAAAGGAGAUAAUCAGUUAUGCAACUAUGAAGAUAACGUGCAUUUGUGCUAAUAUGCCUAGUAGAUCUCUAUUUUGCUUGUGAUGCAAUUUUGGAUUUAAGGGGGGCGGCAAAUGCAUGCACACAACAUCAAAUUGCUAGGUUCACAAUCAAUUAUCGCAGCUCACAGAGAGAUAUGCAAGCUUCAGGUUCUACGCUGUCGAAGUGCUUCUUGCUUGCUGAAGUACCCGCACAUGCUUGGAAUGGUCUGCAGAGACUUGAAGCUGGAGAACAUCCUCGUUUAGGAAACUUAUGACAUGUGACCAAGCAAUUUGUUCAUCUUCCGUUAGCAUUUUAUUUUAUCUAGCUUUGGCAUUUAGUCAGAGAAUUGAAUGAUAUUUGUGUAGUUUUUGAGCAGCGUAAUGGAAUUCAUAAUACUGCUUUUCUGGUCA